rnacentral:tRNA from 1 species
GCCGGAGUGGCGGAAUGGCAGACGCAGGGGACUCAAAAUCCCCCGCCCUCACUGGGCGUGUGGGUUCGACUCCCACCUCCGGCACCA